UUCAAUCCACCUUUGCCAAGGAAAGUUCUUAUUAUGUUAUGUACCUUUCUGAUAAGCUGAGGUAUGAUAGCAAUCUAUAGAGAGGUCCUACAUUUAAAAUGUCAAAUAAAUUUCUAAUUGUUUAAAUCUGCAGUUUAAAUAAUGUGAGUAGCAGUGUGUCUAACUAUGUACCAAAAAAACCCCAAAACGAUAUUCCCACCUUUGUACAAGUUGAGAAUGCUGUUAAGAACAAUGAAACUAUUCAUAGCAUUUAGCAUGCAUGUUUCUUCGUGGUGCAUAUUGAAAAAAGCUGUUGGGCUUGCUUACAUGAGAGGAAUUAUUUUACAAGUGAAUGCUUCUGUUACGAGCUGUCAUUUUUAUUUUGUUAGAAGAGAUGUAAUAGUAUAAUCAGUGGUCUUUGCCUUCCUCCAUUGCGUUUCUCUCCGUUCAUGUUACAUUUUCUUCAUAUUUGAUCUAAACACUGUCAAAACAGAUGUUUGUGGAUUUUUUUUGUUCCUUUGCCAUUUUAGUAGUAGAACCUAAACAAGCUGAUGAGGUGCCUUCUUUCAGCUCUUCUUCCCAGUGCUUUUCUCGUUCCAGUAUAGUAAACAGUAUGAAGCAGAAAUAAAAUCUGUGGAGAAUUCUACAUGUUGUGAUAACUUCCUCGUGCUUUCGUACAGGAGCUGGAAUGUUAUGACUGGGGACUUCAUGCUACCAAGUCAGUUUUGGCUACUGCCGACUCACUGAAGUGAGGAGACAAGAACAGAUCUAAGUAUCAGGUGCUUAUGUGAGCCUUAAGAGACUUCCAAUUUGCCUAAAAUAGUGACAGAUGAUAUCCCAAUAUUCACAUACCUGAUCAGUGACCUGUUUCCAGCUCUGGAUGUUCUGAGGAAGAGGAACCUGCAAUUUGAACAGAUGGCUGAACAAUCUACCAUGAAGCUUCUCUGGCAGCCUGAAGAGAGCUUUAUUCUCAAAGUCUCCUGUCAUCAUUCCUGAGAGCAAGCUAAUAUUACCCAUGAGGGGUUAAAAUGGUUAGAUUUAGAUGGGGGUGUAGAUCCUAUUCAACACUGUUACAAAUGAUAACAAGGCAAUGAAUGUGUGCCUGUGACUGCAUCAAUACGGCUGUUAUUUGAGGUACACCAUUCAAGAGUUGCUACACCAGCUACAGUAUCCAGAGAUGAUAUUCUCUGUGUGAAUGCCCAGGACCUGGGGUGGAAUCUGUGAGUAUCUGAUGAUAUUAGUUAACAUUUUAAAGAUACAUCUUGAAAGAUGAAUGGGAAUAGACUCCAAUAUUUAUACUAACUGUUCUAGUUUUUAUUCUGAUAAU